GGAGGGCUGGGGUCUGCGGGGCGGGGCCUCACCCCAGAGGCCCUCACACACAUAAUUUUUAAGUCAUGGAACACCAACCACUCUGUUGCGGUUGCAUUUUCUUGAGCCUAAACUCAGAGCCUAAACUCAGUGCUCUACAUAACACACCCAUGUCAGCAAACGCCCAGGUCUCCUGAGAGUUUUCCCCAGAGGAAGGACUUACAGACCCUUUCUGUCUCACAGUGGCAGUGUAUUUAGCCUCCUGAGUCUGCCUCUGAUCUGUGAUCUUUACAGGACCAAUUCUGCUAAGCAGACCAUUCUCAACCUGUCCCCACGUCUUUAGUCCUCAGAACAAUCUCACUGAUUGCUCCUGGGUUUGUCCCACACACACUUUCUACAGGUUACCCCUUCUCACCAGAGUCAACAUGCACUUCACCAGCAUUUCUUUCUUUCAGGUUGUCGGUGUGUAGUGAGGAUAAGAAAGCAUCUGAGCGGAGCGUUUCUGCCUAUGUAAUGCCACAGGACAGGACCCUCAAAGCAGGUCUGUUUGCCCAGAAGGCACACCUGUGUGAGGUGUGUGGGCCCAUGUCAAGAGACAGUUUGCACUUGGUUGAACACCAGGAAAUACAGCACAGGCAGAAACUGCACACGUGUGGGGCCUGUGGAAAUCGAUUUCAUCUCAUGGCAAAUCUGUAUCAGCAGCACAGGUGGCAUGUUGGCGAGAAACACUGCAAAAGCAGCAUGAACAGAGCCUUGUUUUUGAAGAGCUGCAAAUUCCAAGCGUCAGGGAAAUCUUUUACCUUUAAGGAGGUCGGGAAGGACUUCCUGGGCAGCUCAGGACAUCUUCAGCAACAGGCCCCUCACACCAGGGAGAAGCCAAACAGCAGAGGAGAGUGUGUGGUGGCCUUCCACACUGUAAAAAGUCACUGACUGGAGAGCGUGAAAGCUUGGAGCCCCAAACACAUGCUUGUUCAGCACCAGAGAGUGUUCACGAGGGAACAAUGUUACAGGUGCAGUAAAAAUACUGUAUCUUCAGGGAGUAUUUGAGAGUUCACACUAGAGAAAAGCCUUGUGUAUGUGAGGAAUGUGGAAAAUCCUUUAGACAAAGCUCUGGCCUCUUUCAACGCCAGAAAGUUCACACUGGAGUAAGACCUCAUGAGUGUGAUGAAUGUGAAAAAUUAUUUAGCAAUCAUUAUGCAUCAGGAAGUUCCUCCUAGUUAAAAGCCAUAUGAUUGCAGUGAAUGUGGGAAAAUCUUUAGCUGUAAGUCUGACCUCAUAACUCACCAGAGAAUUCUUACUAGAACAAGGCUUUGUGAAUGCAUUGAAUGUCGGAAAUAUUUUAGCCAGAGCUCUCACAUCAUUAUACAGCAAAGAGUUCACACUGAAGAAAGGCCUUAUGAGUGCAGUGAAUGGGAAAUUCUUAAUUCCUUCAGCCACCUGUUCCAAAACCACAGAGUUCACACUUGUUUAAGAUCUCAUGUGAUGAAUGUGUACCAGCUUGUUCAACCUCUUUAAACAUCAGAAAGUUCACACUGGAGAAAGGCCAUAUGGAAAGUCCUUUAGCUGCAAAUCUUACCUCAUUUCACACUAUAGAGUUCACACUGGGGCAAAGCCUUAUGAUUGUGAGCAAUGUGGGAAAUCAUUUAGCCAUAGCUUGACACUGUUUCAGCACUGGAGAAUUCACACUGGAGAAAGGCCUUAUGAGUGUAGCGAGGGUCAGAGCCUUCAGUGACAGUUCUAACCUCAUUAAGCAUUGAAGAGGUCACACUGGAGAAAGACCUUAUGGGUGUAGAAUAUGGGAAGUCUUUUAGCCAGAGCUCUAACCUCAUUAAUCACCAGAAAGUUCACAUUAGAGAAAGACCUUAGAGUUUAGUGAAUGGAAGUCCUUUACCUUUAACCCUAGUCUGCCAAAGUACCAGAAUGUUCACAAGGCAUAAAGACCAUUAUAUAAUAUUGGUCAGUCUGUUAUAGACUGAAUUGUGCCCCUCAAAAUUUGUACGUUCAAGCACUAACACCCAAUGGAACUUUUUAGGUGUCGCCUAUAAGGAGAUGGGUGAUUAAGACCAAUGAGGUCAUGAGAAUGGCCUCCCAGUGUGACUUGUGUCCUUAUAAGAAGACUAGACACCAGGAGGUGCUUGCUUGUCUCUGUAGUUUUGAACAGAGGAAAGGCCAUUUAAUGACACAGCAAUCCUGAUGGCAUCUUGGCCCUAGACUUCCAGCCACUAGAAAUAUGAGAACAUACAUCCCUUGAAGCCACCUAAUCAGGGAUUUUGUUGGGGCAACCUGAGAAGAGACAAAGAUGCAGAGAAGGUACCGCAUUAUAUCCUGUCAACUCCGUAAUGCUGCAGUAGACAUGGAUAACUUCAAGAACAUACAUAUAAUAGUAAAGCAUAGUAAAUUAGGAGGUUACAAAUUUUAAGAGUUUGUUUAAAAAAAAGCAAAACAGCUUUAUUGAAGUCCAAUUAGUUGUCAUUCACAAUAGUCAUUUUCUGUAAUUCACUGAGUUAAUAGAUGUACAACCAUUGUUUCUAGGGGAAAUAACAGAAAUAAUUUCCUGAGAGCCUCUGGUCACAAAAUUGUUGUCCACUAGUCAGUAAAUAACAUUGUUUUCCUGUUUUUUUUUAAGCAACUCAUUUACUAUAUACUGUUGAUUUGUUAACAUUGAAAUCAUGGCCAAGAACAGUGGUUCAUGACUGAACAAUUCUAACCUAUUACGUAUUUUCUUUAAGGCACAUUCUUUGUGCUUAGGAACACCAGGUGGACAGAGGCACCAGGUUUGGAGGCCUGUGUGGACCACAAAAUCACCAAGAAAAAGCAUAAAUGGGGUACCAAAGGCAUCAUGGGAAGAAUGCCUAUUUCCGGUAUGAGAGCUGAAAUGAGAAGGCAGAGCAUCACUGGGUGACUCAGAUUUUUUUGUGUGUCUGUACAUCUGUGAGGUGUCUCCCCUGUGGCUGAGUGGUACGAAUUUGCCGGUGACGCAAGCGAUGCGGGUUUGAUCUUGGAUCAGGAAGAUCCCCUGGAAAAGGAAAUGGCAGCCCACUCCAGUAUUGUUGCCUGGGAAAUCCCACAGACAGAGGAGCCUGGCCGGGGAAAUCCCAUGGACAGAGGCGCUUGGUGGGCUGCAGUUGAUGGCGUUGCAGAGUCAGACACAGCUGAAUGUCUGUGAACGAAUGUAAAAAUGUGAUACCUGUUUUUCCCUGCUGGUGCCAGUUUCUCAAGACUACAUGACCACCCGACUAUGAGACCCCUUCGACUAUGUGACCACAAGACUCCAGCUGUGGGCUAAGGAUAAACCCCUCUGGGGCACAAUUUCCCAUCGAUACGGUAUAAGAAGGGUUGGCUGUAAAAAGAAAGCACUGGUUUCUCUCUAAAACCACUUUCUUUCUUCCUAUAAUAAAUAUUUCUCUGCCUGA